AGCCCAUGAUGAGCCUUUCCUUCUGACACCUCAAAUGAGUUGCAUAAGCAAUACUUGAUUAUACUAUCUGGCUGAGGCUC